rnacentral:rRNA from 1 species
UACGAAGGGGGCUAGCGUUGUUCGGCAUUACUGGGCGUAAAGCGCACGUAGGCGGAUUUGUUAGUCAGGGGUGAAAUCCCGGGGCUCAACCUCGGAACUGCCUUUGAUACUGCAAAUCUCGAGUCCGGAAGAGGUGAGUGGAAUUCCUAGUGUAGAGGUGAAAUUCGUAGAUAUUAGGAAGAACACCAGUGGCGAAUGCGGCUCACUGGUCCGGUACUGACGCUGAGGUGCGAAAGCGUGGGGAGCAAACAAG